CCAAACUGAGAACCUUGUUAACACCAUCAGCCCUUUCUUUUCCCAAGUGUACUACUGAAAUCAGAUGGUUCAUCGAAAGGAAAAAGCCACAGAAAUCCGUCCCUCUGUAGCAAAAGCUGGUUGGCUUCGCAUCCCAGGGCUGGGGGCUGGGGUGGAGGCCGGGGGGAGGCGGGGGGGAGGCCUGGGGAGGUAGGAAGGAGGCCGGGGGAGGUCCGGGGAGGCAGACGGGGGCAGGGGAGGCCGGAGAGAGGUCCGGGGGGAGGUCCGGGGAGGCAGGAGAAGGCAGGGGGAGGCCGGGGGAAGUAGGAAGGAGGCCAGGGGAGGCCGGGGGAGGCCGGGGGGAGGGCAGGGGAGGCCGGGGAGAGGUCCGGGGGGAGGUCCGGGGAGGCCGCAGCUCCAGCGCCCGGGAGGGCGAGCCCCGGGAGGCGGGAGGGGAGGCAGGGAGGGUGCGGGCCCCGUGGCCUGGCCGUUCCCGGAGGGCUGCGGCCGCCCGCACCGGGUCUCGCCAAAUCUCGGGAAACAUGGAGGCCGGACCUCGAAGUAGCCGCGGAAGGCGGAGGAGAAAGACCCGGGCCUGCCUCUGCGACGCUUCGCAGCCUGACCCCCGCCUCCCGCCCGCGCACACAACAGCCUCGCCACUGCGCUGCGACCCCAGGACCUCCAGUUUGACUUCUAUAGAGACUAUUGGCGAUGCGAGUUUCUAUCAGUUCCAGCUGAUUUAUUAAAAUUGUCAAGAUACAGACUUCCAGCACAAAAAAAAAAAAAAAAAAAAAAAAACAGGCAAUGAUGUCGACAGUGCAUUGAGUCUGCUUUGCCACCAUUUGCUACAAAAUAUGCAGAUGGUCUGUACUUUAUUUAGAUUAUAUUGCACAAAAUGAGAAACUUUUUAAACUAUGUGCCUUUUUUUUUUUUUUUUUUUUUUUUUUUUUUUGCUAAAAAUCGAGAAUCCAGUUUCAAACCUUCCAUCUGGGGCCCCAUCCACAUAUCACAGCGUAUGAGAUACAUAAAGUCCUAGUAUAGUACAGUACAUAUACAAUCUUUAAACUAAGAUAACAGCUCUGAGGUCUAUAUCACCAUUUUCAAUAAAUCUUUACCUACAAAUAUUGAACAAAUCUCUACUAUAGCUGUACAAAAAAAAGUUUGCUUUUUUUUUUUUAAACCACAAGGCCUUUAGAUGCAAGGAUUAUUUAAAAAUUUUAAUCCUUUUUAAACCAGGACAUCACGUACCAACAUACUUGCAUGCUAAAAAAAACAGAGGAAAAAAAGAAAUCAAAAGGGAAGAAGUGCCUGAAAGUCUUACUGAAAAAACACAGCAAGAAUGUUCCCUUUUCACUGUACAAAAAUACGCCUGAAAAUAUAUUAAUUUUUAAAAAAGACUGAGGUCUGUUAUGUAUCAAAAAUGUUUCAAUACCUUUUGUACUGAGGUCUAGGCUGUCUGGUAUUCAAUCAAGGAGGUAUAAGGGAACAAGUUACAAAAAAAAAGUUGGCAAGUAGAAAUCACAUUUGUAAAACCAUAAACAAUUUGAUCUGAAAAGUAAACUCUGAUCUUAAGUCAGUUCACAGUUUUUUUUUUUUUUUUUUGUGAGCGUUUGUACAGUCUGCAUUUUUUCAAGCUCCCUGCAGUUUUGUUAAGAAUCGGAUGCAUAGAAGACAUCAGUUUUCUCCCUCCAAAAAAAUAAAAUAAAAUAAAAAAAGUUGCAAUGGUCCCUUUUUUGUUUUUGUGUUUGUUUGUUUUUUUAAAAAAAAUCACCAGUUCUUUAAGAUCUCUUAAGGGAAAAAAAAAAAAAAAAAGGAAUCUCCAACCAACUCCCUAGCGUAACGGUUGUGCUGCCAAAAGGUCCUCUGCAGACGUCUUCCAGACUUCAAAGACCGACAGGCUUCAAACAGCGCCUUCCGGAGCGGGUCCUCCCUCCCCUCCCCCGCCCUGUCCCCUCCGCCUUUGUUGCAAUCACGAAUU
rnacentral:lncRNA from 1 species